GUUAAGAUAGCAAAAAUUGGUUAC
rnacentral:tRNA from 1 species